GAUUCAGUUAGAUGUAGUGGUUUGAAUGUUAGACUAUGACUCUGGAGAUCGGGGUUCGAAUCCCCACUCAGCCA